UCUCGAUUCGUCUAGUGGUUAGGAUACCUGCUUGUCAUUCUUUGGCAGAGUUCGAUUCGCAGGUGGCCGGGGUUCAAUUCCCCGAUCGAGAG